UGUUGGGUUAAGUCCCGUAACGAGCGCAACCCUUGUCCUUAGUUACCAGCACGUUAUGGUGGGCACUCUAAGGAGACUGCCGGUGACAAACCGGAGGAAGGUGGGGAUGACGUCAAGUCAUCAUGGCCCUUACGGCCUGGGCUACACACGUGCUACAAUGGUCGGUACAAAGGGUUGCCAAGCCGCGAGGUGGAGCUAAUCCCAUAAAACCGAUCGUAGUCCGGAUCGCAGUCUGCAACUCGACUGCGUGAAGUCGGAAUCGCUAGUAAUCGUGAAUCAGAAUGUCACGGUGAAUACGUUCCCGGGCCUU
rnacentral:rRNA from 1 species